rnacentral:rRNA from 1 species
CAGUAGCCGCGGUAAUACGAAGGGGGCUAGCGUUGUUCGGAUUUACUGGGCGUAAAGCGCACGUAGGCGGAUCGAUCAGUCAGGGGUGAAAUCCUGGAGCUCAACUCCAGAACUGCCUUUGAUACUGUCGAUCUCGAGUCCGGAAGAGGUGAGUGGAACUCCUAGUGUAGAGGUGGAAUUCGUAGAUAUUCGCAAGUACACCGGUGGCGAAGGCGGCUCACUGGCCCGGUACUGACGCUGAGGCACGAAAGCGUGGGGAGCAAACAGGAUUAGAUACCCGGGUAGUCCCUGUCUCUUAUAC